rnacentral:rRNA from 1 species
UGGGGAAUAUUGCACAAUGGGGGAAACCCUGAUGCAGCGACGCCGCGUGAGCGAAGAAGGUUUUCGAAUCGUAAAGCUCUGUCCUAUGGGAAGAUAAUGACGGUACCAUAGGAGGAAGCCCCGGCUAACUACGUGCCAGCAGCCGCGGUAAUACGUAGGGGGCGAGCGUUAUCCGGAUUCAUUGGGCGUAAAGCGCGCGCAGGCGGUUGCUCAAGCGGAACCUCUAAUCUCGGGGCUUAACCUCGAGCCGGGUUCCGAACUGGACGACUCGAGUGCGGUAGAGGCAGAUGGAAUUCCCGGUGUAGCGAUGGAAUGCGCAGAUUUCGGGAAGAACACCAACGGCGAAGGCAGUCUGCUGGGCCGUCACUGACGCUGAGGCGCGAAAGCUGGGGGAGCGAACAGG